CCCCCCCCCCCCCCCCCCCUCUCUCUCUCUCUCUCUCUCUCUCUCUGGCGCUAGGAUUUGGCGCCGCCGCCCUCUCCGAGGUCCAAGGCCCCUCCCACCGCCAGAUCCAGUGCCUGCGGAGGCUGUGGGACGCUCGCGAGGCGGUGCGGCGCGGCAGGCGGUCGGGGGGCGGUGCGGCCAGUUCGCGGGGCAACCGACCGGAGGAGAGAAGAAAGAGGGCGGCGGCGGGUCUGGUGCUGCGGGCUUG
rnacentral:lncRNA from 1 species